AAUGGACAAAGGCAAGUCGUAAAGCUGCACGACUCUAGGCAGCUAAAGAUGCUGCACCUGUUAGGGUUGAGAUCUUGGAAGUUGGCGAAGAAGGUAUGCUAACAGAGGAGUUGGCGCACAACUUGGUCAUUAGUGAAGGUGAGAUUUUUAGAUCUUUAUACUCAAAGGGAAUCAAACCUGAUGGUGUGCAAACUCUCAGCAAAGACAUGGUGAAGAUGAUCUAUCAGGAGUAUGAUGUUGAAGUUAUUGAUGCUGACCUUGUGAAAGUGGAGGAAAUGGCAAAAAAAGGAAAUUUUUGAUGAAGAUGAUGUCUACAAGUUGGAAGACAGGCCUCCUGUUCUGACCAUCAUGGGACACGUGGACCAUGGGAAAACCACACUUUUGGAUUACAUCAGGAAAAGCAAGGUGGCAGCAUCUGAAGCAGGUGGAAUUACUCAAGGCAUGGGGGCAUACAAGGUACAAGUACCUUUUGAUGGCAAGCCAUAGACUUGUGUUUUCCUUGACACCCCUGGACAUGAGGCAUUUGGAGCAAUGAGAGCUCGUGGAGCCAGAGUAACAGACAUUGCUGUUAUUGUAGUUGCUACUGAUGAUGGAAUUCGACCUCAAACAGAAGAGGCCAUUGCUCAUGCCACAGCAGCUGGAAUGCCAAUUGUUAUUGCUAUAAACAAAGUGCGCUUGCAUUUAUUCUGAGAUUUUCCACUGUGUGUUGGCUUGUAUAUCAUUUAGUCUCAUUUGCAUUCUGCUUUUGAUGUAUGAAACAUGAUGACAAAUCUCCUCUUGCUUAUGGGAGUUGGCAUUUUCAGUUCUCAU